GUAGGUGAACCUGCGGAAGGAUCAUUAUUGAAUUAGCGAGGGCUGUCUGCUGGCCCCUUUCGGGGGGCAUGUGCACGUCCAAGCCGUUUAAAUCAACACCUGUGAACUCACCGUAGGCCUUCGGGCUUAUGUAUCAUAUAUAUAUACUCAGAUCAUAGAAUGUACGUUUUGCCUUUAAAAAAAAAGCAAUCAAAUACAACUUUCAACAACGGAUCUCUUGGCUCUCGCAUCGAUGAAGAACGCAGCAUCU
rnacentral:misc_RNA from 1 species